rnacentral:rRNA from 1 species
CGAAGCCUGACGGAGCAAUACCGCGUGAGGGAAGAAGGCUUUUGGGUUGUAAACCUCUUUUGUCAGGGAGGAAGAAUUGACGGUACCUGAAGAAAAAGCAUCGGCUAACUCCGUGCCAGCAGCCGCGGUAAUACGGAGGAUGCAAGCGUUAUCCGGAAUCAUUGGGCGUAAAGGGUCCGCAGGCGGCGAAUAAGGUCCGCUGUUAAAGACCGGGGCUAAACUCCGGAAAGGCAGUGGAAACUGAUUAGCUAGAGUACGGUAGGGGUAGAGGGAAUUCCCAGUGUAGCGGUGAAAUGCGUAGAUAUUGGGAAGAACACCGGUGGCGAAAGCGCUCUACUAGGCCGAAGCUGACACUGAGGGACGAAAGCUAGGGUAGCGAAAGGGAUUAGAUACCCCUGUAGUCUUAGCGGUAAACGAUGGAUACUAGGUGUAGCUUGUAUCGACCCGAGCUGUGCCGAAGCUAACGCGAUAAGUAUCCCGCCUGGGGAGUACGCACGCAAGUGUGAAACUCAAAGGAAUUGACGGGGGCCCGCACAAGCGGUGGAGUAUGUGGUUUAAUUCGAUGCAACGCGAAGAACCUUACCAGGGCUUGACAUGUCGCGAAUCUAGCGGAAACGUUAGAGUGCCUUAGGGAAUGCGAACACAGGUGGUGCAUGGCUGUCGUCAGCUCGUGUCGCGAGAUGUUGGGUUAAGUCCCGCAACGAGCGCAACCCUCGUCCUUAGUUGCCAAUAUUAAGUUAGGCACUCUAGGGAGACUGCCGGGGACAACUCGGAGGAAGGUGGGGAUGACGUCAAGUCAGCAUGCCCCUUACGUCCUGGGCGACACACGUACUACAAUGGUUGGGACAAAGGACAGCAAGCUCGCGAGAGUAAGCGAAUCUCAUCAAACCCAGCCACAGUUCAGAUUGCAGGCUGCAACUCGCCUGCAUGAAGUAGGAAUCGCUAGUAAUCGCAGGUCAGCAUACUGCGGUGAAUUCGUUCCCGGGCCUUGUACACACCGCCCGUCACACCAUGGAGGCUGGCUACGCCCGAAGUCGUUACCCUAACCCGGUUUUGGGAGGGGGAUGCCGAAGGUAGAGCUAGUGACUGGGGUGAAGUCGUAACAAGGUAGCCGUACCGGAAGGUGUGGCUGGAUCACCUCCUUU